CGGGUGUGUAAGCGUAGCGAUACGUUGAGCUAACCGAUACUAAUGAACCGUGAGGCUUAACCUUACAACGCCGAAGC
rnacentral:rRNA from 1 species